rnacentral:rRNA from 1 species
GACGAACGCUGGCGGCGUGCCUAAUACAUGCAAGUUGAACGCUGAAGACUGGUACUUGUACCAGUUGGAUGAGUAGCGAACGGGUGAGUAACGCGUGGGUAACCUACCUCUUAGCGGGGGACAACUAUUAGAAACGAUAGCUAAUACCGCAUAACAAUACUUAACACAUGUUAAGUAUUUGAAAGCACCAAUUGGUGCACUAAGAGAUGGACCCGCGUUGUAUUAGCUAGUUGGUAGUGUAAUGGACUACCAAGGCGAUGAUACAUAGCCGACCUGAGAGGGUGAUCGGCCACAUUGGGACUGAGACACGGCCCAAACUCCUACGGGAGGCAGCAGUAGGGAAUCUUCGGCAAUGGACGAAAGUCUGACCGAGCAACGCCGCGUGAGUGAAGAAGGUUUUCGGAUCGUAAAACUCUGUUGUUAGAGAAGAACGUCAGUGAGAGUGGAAAGUUCACUGAGUGACGGUAUCUAACCAGAAAGGGACGGCUAACUACGUGCCAGCAGCCGCGGUAAUACGUAGGUCCCGAGCGUUGUCCGGAUUUAUUGGGCGUAAAGCGAGCGCAGGUGGUUUAAUAAGUCUGAUGUAAAAGGCAGUGGCUCAACCAUUGUGU